rnacentral:rRNA from 1 species
CCUACGUGUGGCAGCAGUGGGGAAUAUUGGACAAUGGGCGAAAGCCUGAUCCAGCCAUGCCGCGUGUGUGAAGAAGGCCUUCGGGUUGUAAAGCACUUUCAGUGGGGAAGAAAGCCUUGGGGCUAAUACCCUCGAGGAGGGACAUCACCCACAGAAGAAGCACCGGCUAACUCCGUGCCAGCAGCCGCGGUAAUACGGAGGGUGCGAGCGUUAAUCGGAAUUACUGGGCGUAAAGCGCGCGUAGGCGGUCUGAUAAGCCGGUUGUGAAAGCCCCGGGCUCAACCUGGGAACGGCAUCCGGAACUGUCAGGCUAGAGUGCAGGAGAGGAAGGUAGAAUUCCCGGUGUAGCGGUGAAAUGCGUAGAGAUCGGGAGGAAUACCAGUGGCGAAGGCGGCCUUCUGGACUGACACUGACGCUGAGGUGCGAAAGCGUGGGUAGCAAACAGGAUUAGAUACCCGAGUAGUC